AGCUUUGCGCAGUGGCAGUAUCAUGGCCAAUGAGGUUUAUCCGAGGCGCAAUUAUUGCUAAUUGAAAACUUUUCCCGAUACCCCGCCCUGACGACUUGAAAUAUAAUCGGCAUUGGCAAUUUUUGUCAGUCUCUUCAGAGA